rnacentral:rRNA from 1 species
GACGAACGCUGGCGGCGUGCUUAACACAUGCAAGUCGAACGGAAAGGCCCUGCUUGCAGGGUACUCGAGUGGCGAACGGGUGAGUAACACGUGGGUGAUCUGCCCUGCACUUCGGGAUAAGCCUGGGAAACUGGGUCUAAUACCGGAUAGGAGCCAUUUUUAGUGUGAUGGUUGGAAAGUUUGUUCGGUGUAGGAUGAGCUCGCGGCCUAUCAGCUUGUUGGUGGGGUAAUGGCCUACCAAGGCGGCGACGGGUAGCCGGCCUGAGAGGGUGGACGGCCACAUUGGGACUGCGAUACGGACCAGACGCCUACGGGAGGCAGCAGUGGGGAAUAUUGCACAAUGGGGGCAAGCCUGAUGCAGCGACGCCGCGUGGGUGAUGACGGCCUUCGGGUUGUAAACUCCUUUCGCUAGGGACGAAGCUUUUUGUGACGGUACCUAGAUAAGAAGCACCGGCUAACUACGUG